rnacentral:lncRNA from 1 species
UGGGUCCCUAUGGGUCCCUAUGGGGUCUCUAUGGGUCUGUGUCCCUAUGGGGUCCCUGUGUCCCCCUAUGGGGUCGUUAUGGGGUGGCAAUGUUGUGUGGGGCAGGUGCGGGAACGUGGCGGCCAUCUUGGAGCUCUAUGGGUCCCUAUGGGGUCUCUAUGGGUCCCUGUGGGUCUGUGUCCCUAUGGGGUCCCUAUGGGGUCGUUAUGGGGUGGCAAUGUGUGGGGCAGGUGCGGGAACGUGGCGGCCAUCUUGGAGCUGGACGAGCACCUGCAGAAGGAGUUCAUCAUCUUCGAGGCGGCGCCGCAGGAGACGCGUGGGAUCCCCUCCAAGAAGCCGGUGGCCGAUUACUUCCUGUGACACGCAUGUGCUUGGCGUGUGCUUGGCGUGUGCUUGGCGUGUGAGCCGCGCCGGAGCCGGCGGGGGUGGCGGGGUGACGACGUGGGGUCCUUCCGAGGUCCCCCGGUGGGUCGUUGGCGUGUCGUUGGCGUGUCACUGACGUGUGGCUGACGUGGCGCUCGCGUGUCCUUGGCGUGUUCUUGACAUGUCACUGAUAUGACCUUGACGUGUUCCUUAACGCGUCGCCGCGGGCUUCCCAAAGUGUCCCAAUGGGUCCCCAAAGGGUCACUGGCGUGUCAUUGACGUGUCUUUAACGUGCCGCUAGCGUGUCCUUGACGUGUUCUUGACAUGUCACUAACAUGUCUUUGACGUGUCCUUGAUGUGUCCUUACCGUGUCCUUGACGUGUCACUAAUGUGUCCUUGGCAUGUCACUAACAUGUCCUUAGCGUGUCCUUGUCAUGUCAGUAACAUGUCCUUGGUGUGUCCAUGACAUGUCACUGGCAUGUCACUACCAUGUCCUCAACGUGUUCCCAACAUGUCCUUGGCGUGUCCCUGACAUGUCACUAACAUGUCCUUGGCGUGUCACUAACGUGUCCUUGACGUGUCACUAACGUGUCCUUGACGUGUCACUAACAUGUCCUUAACGUGUCCUUGUCAUGUCAGUAACAUGUCCUUGGUGUGUCCUUGACAUGUCACUAGCAUGUCACUACCGUGUCCUUGACGUGUUCCCAACAUGUCCUUGGCAUGUCCCUGACGUGUCACUAACAUGUCCUUGACGUGUCCUUCACAUGUCCCUGACGUGUCCUUCACAUGUCCUUGACGUGUCCUUCACAUGUCCUUGACGUGUCACUAACAUGCCCUUGACAUGUCACUAACAUGUCCUUGACGUGUCCUUAGCGUGUUCUUCAUGUUUCCCUGCCGCGUCCUUAACGUGUCACUAACAUGUCCUUAACAUGACCUCUAAGGACACCCCACGACCUUUUAGGGACCCCACGACCUUUUUGGGGUCACCCCGUGACCUUUGACCUUUGCAGACACCGCCGCUCUGCCCUCCUCCCCCCCCCUCCCCCCCCCCCCCCCCCCCCCCCCCCCAUUGCGUGGUUUUGGGGGGAAAAAGGGCGAUUUUGGGGUUUUUUCCUUCUCUGUAUUUUCUCGUUUUU